rnacentral:rRNA from 1 species
CAAUAGCGUAUAUUAAAGUUGUUGCAGUUAAAAAGCUCGUAGUUGGAUUUCUGGUAGGGGUGACCGUUCCGAACUUGAUUGUUCGUGUAUUGUGUUUUCUCCAGCCAUCCUUGUGGAGAACUUUUCUUGCAUUAAUUUGUAGGGAUUGGGACCCGCAUCGUUUACUGUGAAAAAAUUAGAGUGUUUAAAGCAGGCAAUCGCUUGAAUACAUUAGCAUGGAAUAAUAAGAUAGGACUUUGGUACUAUUUUGUUGGUUUGCAUACCAAAUUAAUGAUCAACAGGAACAGUUUGAGGAUAUUCGUAUGAACAUGUCAGAGGUGAAAUUCUUGGAUUUUGAUCAGACGAACUACUGCGAAAGCAUUUAUCAAGGAUGUUUUCAUUAA